UUAAAAUUAUUAAUUUAUCAAUUUUUAACUUACCAUGGUUUGUGGCCUUGUGGGUGUUAUAAUAAUGUGAAAAAGUUGAAGCAUAUGUAAUCGGAACGAUAUAUCGAGUUGCAUAAAGUAAUAAAAUUAGAAAAAAUCUUCAAAAGUUUCCAUUCUAGUUAUUUUAUAAUAUAUGAAUCACGGCACAUAUUAUGUUAAAAGCCUAAAGGGGGCGGUUUAUUAGAAUAAAGUUGGCGUAACCAGCCCCGAAAGGGUAAAUUGCUUUGUCCAUGGCCUGAUGGCCACAAGAUAAGAUACGAUCCAUGAGCUUAAUUAAUUUUCAAGUAAUAAUUAAUGACAUCUUACUUUUAAUCAGGAUGAGUUGACAAAAUAAUCAACUCAAGAGCCACUGACACUGAGUACGCCAAUAUUAUUCUAAUUUCUGGAUGAAAACACUGUGCGUCCGCAUACCUAAAAAGGUUAGGUUAGCUUUUGGAUUUGGUGAUUCAAGCUUUUAAGAUACCAUGAAGCUUGAUCUAGGUGCAUAAAGAUCUCCAUAAUUGCGUUAAGUCGAAGAUUAUUAUCAAUUGACCCAAAUCUCUCGUCUUCCAUUAAUUGGAUCAUUUUCGUAGUAUUACCCAAAAUUUUAGAAAUAAAAACAAAGACGAGAGAAAUAUUCAUACUCACGCACAUGUGUAUUUGUGUAAAGGUAAAAGAAGAUUUUCACUUCUUAUUGGUAUGCAUGCAUGCAUAUCACCCUAAAGAUGAAACUUCAAAACUGCGUCAAAUUUGCUUCAAAAUUUUGGGUAUUUGUCACUUAAACCCCAUAAAUUUUGUGAUAUUAUCACUUAAAUAACUCGUUUAAUCUAACAUAAAUUUACUUUCCACAAAUUUAACCAAAUGUUUGAUCCUUUCAUCUCUUUAAUAAUAACGAUCUAGUAUUAUAUGUUUGAUUACUAUAAAUGAGAGCUUUUUAGUUUAAUAUUAUUUUUAUUAGUAUUGAAUUUUUAAUGAUACUCCAAAUUUCAUUGGAGCUAGAUCUCAAUUAAUGCUGUGUUUAUUUGCUGGAGUGGGAGUGAGGAGUGUGGAUUCCUCCCACUCCAGCGUUUACUUCUUUAAAAUAGGAAGGGUGUGGGAAUUCCACUCCGUGGGCCCCACUCAUUUUUGGAGUGGGGAGUGGGAGUGAGAAUCCACUCCCACCUCUCCCUUUUUUACCCUUUUAUUUUUUUUAAUUUA
rnacentral:lncRNA from 1 species